rnacentral:rRNA from 1 species
GACAGAGGGUGCAAACGUUGUUCGGAAUUACUGGGCGUAAAGCGCGUGUAGGCUGCCCGAAAGUCAGGUGUGAAAGCCCUGGGCUCAACCCAAGGAAGUGCACUUGAAACUUCGGUGGCUUGAGUUCUGGAGAGGAGUGGCGGAAUUCUCGGUGUAGAGGUGAAAUUCGUAGAUAUCGAGAGGAACACCGGUGGCGAAGGCGGCCUUCUGGACAGUGACUGACGCUGAGACGCGAAAGCGUGGGGAGCAAACAGG